UCUGUCGUGAUUGGUCAGUCGCUCAGUAUGGUUCUCGGAAAUGUCCCGCCCCUUUUACCAUAUUGGGAAUGCAGCUACUGGCUCCGAGGGGGAGCAAAAACACCGGUAUGCAAACGGCAAUGGCAACUUCACCAAUCUGACAGAGAGGAGGAACAAACACAACAACCUUUGCCACGAAGGCAUGAGCACGACGUUUCAGUGUUGGAGGAGAAUGAAUCCACUGCCUGUUCCUUGUACCACAAACGUCCAGGACUGUUUAAACCCAUAUACACUUCAAAACAUCCACAACAUCUUCAGAGGAGAACAUCAAGGAGAACUGCAGAAGAGCUGUGCAGACACUUGGCAGUGGUUGGAGUGGUUAUCCUGUCGUGUGUCGUCCUGAGGAUUCACCCCGAGUUUCCUGACCCGACUGGACAGUAUGUUGGCUUCCGCCCGCCCCUUGACUACACCUGGACACGUGUCGAGCCACCCCUCCUUCUUUUUGAGAGUCAGGUAUUUUCUGCAGCUCCUCCAUGAAUGGUUCUGGUUCCUGAAACACCUCCUCCAACACCAGUGCCAUCAAGUCCCCGACAUAUCCUGUAAAAAAGUAAUUCAAGAACAAAAAUCUAUUUCAUAAUGUUUGGUUAUUGCUCAUUUUUCACACUCAUCUGAAAAAUGAGCUCAGCUAACAAUGCUAUACCUGUUACCGCUUUAGAUGAAAGUUGAUAAAUAGUUUAGUACUGCUCUAAUUUAGAAAAAUAGCAUUACUUAGCAUGUUAGCCGAGGCUUACAGUUCAGUUACAGACAGACUCCACAGAACUAAUGUAUCCAGCAGCUCAAAAGUUGUUUUCAAACAAAUAAAAAAGACAAUUAAUGAAGCGUA